UACGAAGGGGGCUAGCGUUGCUCGGAAUCACUGGGCGUAAAGCGCACGUAGGCGGAUUGUUAAGUCAGGGGUGAAAUCCUGGAGCUCAACUCCAGGACUGCCUUUGAUACUGGCGAUCUCGAGUCCGGGAGAGGUGAGUGGAACUGCGAGUGUAGAGGUGAAAUUCGUAGAUAUUCGCAAGAACACCAGUGGCGAAGGCGGCUCACUGGCCCGGUACUGACGCUGAGGUGCGAAAGCGUGGGGAGCAAACAGG
rnacentral:rRNA from 1 species